GAACAAGAGAAACAAGAAGGGGCUCUUUGAGUUCGGCAUCGUGUCUCCUUUCUUCAUUUCAAUAGGGACAGUGUCCAUCAUCAAUCUUGUCUCACUUGUGAUUGGGAUUAUAAGAGUAGAAACAAAGAUGGAGAGCUUGGAUAACAUGUUUGUGCAGCUAUUCCUAUCAGGGUUCGGUGUGGUGAACUGCUGGCCUGUCUAUGAGGCUAUGUUUUGGAGGAGAGAUGGAGGGAGGAUGCCAACAAGGGUUACAAAGCUCUCCAU
rnacentral:misc_RNA from 1 species